AUGUGUCCCCAGCCAAAGGGGAGUGCGGCACACAGCUCAGUAACACGUGGCUAACCUGCCCUUGGGAUAGGGACAACCCCGGGAAACUGGGGCUAAUCCCCAAUAGGCGAAGAGUUCUGGAAUGAACCUUCACCAGAAAGGAUGCCUGCGCUAUGCUCGCAGGUUUCGCCCAAGGAUGGGGCCGCGACCGAUCAGGUUGUUGGUGAGGCAACGGCUCACCAAGCCUUUAACCGGUGCGGGCCGUGGGAGCGGGAGCCCGGAGAUGGGCACUGAGACAAGGGCCCAGGCCCUACGGGGCGCAGCAGUCGCGCAAACUUUGCAAUACACGAAAGUGUGACAGGGCUAUCCCGAGUGCCGUCCGCUGAGGAUGGCUUUUACUCAGUCUAGAACGCUGGGAGAAUAAGGAGAGGGCAAGUCUGGUGUCAGCCGCCGCGGUAAUACCAGCUCUCCGAGUGGUGUGGAUGUUUAUUGGGCCUAAAGCAUCCGUAGCUGGCCAAGUUAGUCCCCUGUUAAACCCACCGAAUCAAUCGUUGGAUUGCGGGGGAUACUGCUCGGCUAGGGGACGAGAGAGGCAGACGGUAUUUUCGGGGUAGGGGUGAAAUCCUAUAAUCCCGGGAAGACCACCAGUGGCGAAGGCUGUCUGCUAGAACGAGCCCGACGGUGAGGGAUGAAAGCUGGGGGGAGCGAACCGGAUUAGAUACCCGGGUAGUCCCAGCUGUAAACGAUGCAGGCUAGGUGUUUGGGCGGCCACGUGCCGCUCUAGUGCCGCAGGGAAACUGUUAAGCCUGCCGCCUGGGGAGUACGGUCGCAAGAUUGAAACUUAAG
rnacentral:rRNA from 1 species